CUUGAUCGACCCCAGCCACAGCGGGCCGUCGGUCCGCUCCCGGCCGUAGGUGCGCAGCAGCGCGUGCGCCUC
rfam:Streptomyces rubellomurinus strain ATCC 31215 contig-31, whole genome shotgun sequence.